UUAAUGACGUACUGGGAAACUGGUAUUUCUUCGACUAUUUUGCAAGGUGCUGCAUGGUUGUCGUCAGCUCGUGCCGUGAGGUGUCGGGUUAAGUCCCAUAACGAGCGCAACCCUAUUGUUAGUUGCCAUCAGGUCAUGCUGGGGACUCUAACAAAACUGCCCGCGUAAGCGUGGAGGAAGGUGGGGAUGACGUCAAAUCAGCACGGCCCUUACGUCCAGGGCUACACACGUGCUACAAUGGCCGGUACAGAGGGCAGCCACUUGGUGACAAGGAGCAAAUCUCAAAAGCCGGUCUCAGUUCGGAUCGGAGUCUGCAACUCGACUCCGUGAAGUUGGAUUCGCUAGUAAUCGUAGAUCAGCAAUGCUACGGUGAAUACGUUCCCGGGCCUU
rnacentral:rRNA from 1 species